GACGAACGCUGGCGGUGUGCUUAACACAUGCAAGUCGAACGGUAAGGCCCUUUCGGGGGUACACGAGUGGCGAACGGGUGAGUAAUACGUGAGUAACCUGCCCUCAUCUCUGGGAUAACAGUCGGAAACGGCUGCUAAUACUGGAUAUGAGCUUGCAAGGCAUCUUGUGGGUUGGAAAGAUUUUUUUGGUUGGGGAUGGACUCGCGGCCUAUCAGCUUGUUGGUGAGGUAGUGGCUCACCAAGGCUUCGACGGGUAGCCGGCCUGAGAGGGCGACCGGCCACAUUGGGACUGAGAUACGGCCCAAACUCCUACGGGAGGCAGCAGUGGGGAAUAUUGCACAAUGGACGGAAGUCUGAUGCAGCAACGCCGCGUGCGGGAUGACGGCCCUCGGGUUGUAAACCGCUUUCAAUUGUGACGAAGCUUUUUGUGACGGUAGCAGUAGAAGAAGCACCGGCUAACUACGUG
rnacentral:rRNA from 1 species